GACGACGAGGAGGAGGAGGAGGGGGACUCGUACGCCACGGCGCUCCUCCCGCUCGCGCUGCCGCUGCCGCUCGGCGCCGGAGCCACCGGCGGCUCCGGCUCCGUGGCGGCGGCGGCGGGGUAGUUGGUGGUGGCGCCGGGCCCGCGGAGCCUGCGCGCGGCGGCGUCGUACGCCCGCGCCGCCUGCUCGGGCGUGUCGAAGGUGCCCAGCCACACGCGCGCCUUCGUCACGGGGUCACGGAUCUCCGCCGCGUACCGGCCCCACGGCCGCUUCCGCACGCCGCGCAGCCUCGGCGGCGCGAACAAGCCGCUUCCGCUGCUGCUGCUGCUUCCGGACGGCGACGUCCAUCUCUUGGGCGCCAUGGAACUCGACCGCCGCUCUCGCAGGCUUGUUGCCUUGGGAGUAUAUAUGUACCCAUGGGAGGCGGGCGGCGGGACGGUGACAGGGUGAGGUGGAGUGUGGGGCCCAUGGCGCCGCCCCCUGCGCGUUUCGGCGGCUCCUGCCGUCGGGUUUCCGGGGGCCCGUUUCGUGAGCGUCGGCGCGUCAUGCUCAUCGUGCGCGUGAGCUACCGUGUCUGCUCUAGAGGAGGGGCUGAUAGAAGAAAGUUGCCACCCCCAACUGGAAUCCAUCAUUAUCACAAAAAAAAAAAAAAACUGGAAUCCAUCGUUUCUUCGAGAGCGUUGGUGCAUCGACGCACGUGCGCUGUAUAAGAAUUGUGUGAACGUAAUAACCGUUUCUUAGGGUGCGUUUGGUUUCCUUACAAAGGCCCACGGUGACCAAGUAAUUGCCUUGUGUGUCUAGUUGUUGUAUCCAUGGAGCAAGGCCUAAGAAAGAAAUCAUUUGGUUUGCUCCUAUUCGCACCGCUCCUCUCUGCUUAGUGCAGGCAGAUGCGCCUGGAUGCAUGCAUGAGCUUGGUCCAUGCAAAACAAACAAAGAAUUUGUAUACAGGCCGACGCGCUCCUUUUGCACCGUGUGAGCCAGAUUUGAUAGCUGCGCCAACCAAACAAUAGUUAAAUCCGUGUCUCGGAAGAUAGGUUGGGGUACUCUUUUUACAGUGUGUGCCAACCAAAAUAAUCAUAGAAUCCGUAUCCCAGAAGGCUGGCUGGCGUGCUCCUUUAAUUUGCAUUGUGUGAGCCAGGUCCAAUGACUAUGCCAGUCAAGCAAUCGAACAAUUCAUAUCUCGGGAGGCUAGCUAGCGCACCCCAUUUGCACCGCGUGAGCUAGUUCUGAUAGCUACGCCAACCAAACAAUAGGAGGAUGCGUAUGCCAGGAGGCAGGUUGGCGCGCUCCUAAAAUUCGUAUCUCAGGAGGCUGGUUGGCGCGUCCCUUUUGCACCGCGUGAGCUAGAUUCGAUAGUUGCGCCAACCAAACAAUUGUAAGAUCCGUAUCUCCCAGGAGACAGGUUGGUGUGCUCCUUUAAUUUGCACCGCGUGAGCCAUGUCCAAUAACUAUGCCAGCCAAGCAAUCGCAAAAUUCGUAUCUUGGGAGGCUGGUUGGCGCGCCCCUUUUACACCGCGUGAGCCAGAUCCGAUAGUUGCGCCAACCAAACAAUUGUAGGAUCUGUAUCCUAGGAUACAGGUUGGUGUGCUCCUUUAUUUUGCACCGCGUGAGCCAUGUCCGACGGAUGUGCCAGCCAAACAAUUGUAGAAUUCGUAUCUCGGGAGGCUAGUUGGCGUGCCCCUUUUGCACCGCGUGAGCCAGAUCCGAUAGCUGCGCCAACCAAACAAUUGCAGGAUCCGUAUCCUAGGAUACAGGUUGGUGUGCUCCUUUAUUUUGCACCGCGUGAGCCAUGUCCGACGGAUGUGCCAGCCAAACAAUUGUAGAAUUCGUAUCUCGGGAGGUUGGUUGGCGCGCCCCUUUUGCACAGCGUGAGCCAGAUCCGAUAGCUGCGCCAACCAAACAAUUGCAGGAUCCAUAUCCUAGGAUACAGGUUGGUGUGCUCCUUUAUUUUGCACCGCGUGAGCCAAGUUCGACAGAUGUGCGAGCCAAACAAUUGUAGAAUUCGUAUCUCAAGAGGCUGGCUGGUGCGCUCCUUUUGCACCGAGUGAGCCGAGUUGGUAUGCUCCUUUAAUUUGCACCGCGUGAGCCAGGUCCGACGGCUAUGCCAGCCAAACAAUUGCAGAAUUCGUAUCUCAGGAGGCUGGCUGGCGCGCUCUCUUUGCACCGCGUGAGCCAGAUCCAAUAGUUGCGCCAACCAAACAAUUACAGGGCGCGUAUCCCGGUAGGCAGGUUGGCGCGCUCCUUUUGCACCGCAUGAACGAGGUCUGAUAGCUAGGCCAACCAAACAAAUCGCAAAAAUCGUAUCUCGGGAGGCGGGUUGGUGUGCUCGUUUUGCGCCGCGUGAGCUAGUGCGACAACCGCGCCAUCAAAACAAUCGCAGAAUCCAUAUCUUGGGAAGCAAGCCCGCGCGCUCCUUUUGCACGGUGAGUCGGUCCAACAGCUACGCCAACCAAGCAAUCGCAGAAUCCGUAUUAUAGGAGACAAGUUGGUGCGCUCCUUUUGCACCGCGUGAGCCAGAUUCGAUAGCUGCGCCAACCAAACAAUCGUUUGUUCUCGCACACAGAGGGCUUCGAUGAGGGCAGGAGCAGCCACCAAUCACGCGUUUAUUUCAUUCUUUUCACUUCAAUAGAUUUGCUUGGGAAAGUGUUAUGCUGUGCUUGUUUGUUGCCGGAGCCGAUGUAGCAAGCUCUCUUCCCCGAGCAGGUCGAAUAGGGAGUGUAACACUUCGCGUUUUGUAUCAUUCCAAAUGAUAGGAAAUUUUGGGUUUUCUAAAUUUAUUGUUUUAAUGUAUAUGUUUAGAUAUAGUGUAUUUAAGUACAUAAUAUCUAGAAAAAUCUAAAUUAUUUCAUAAUUUAGAAUAUGGGGGAGUAUUUGCGUAGGACAGGGCAUGCUCAAACUACCGAUGCCUACUGUAGAUCGGUAGGCAUGUCAGCACGUGGUUUUGCUGUCCCAAACAGCUGAAAAAAAAAUCGGCCCAAGGGUUCAAGAGAAAGGCACCGAUGCUCAAAGCGACGUCGUAAUUUGUUUCCGUUAAAAAAUUGCGACGUCGUAAUUUGAGAAGAAGAAAAAAAGGACUGAAGGAGUAUAUGUGCAGGUGGGCAGCCUGGCAGGUAGCGUGGCGAGGGCGGCGGCUACGGCUGCUGCGACUGCGAGUGCCCCCCACCCGCACGCACGCACACGGACGGAACGGCGCCGGCCAACAGCCGCGCCGCCGGGUCGUGUGGCUUUGGGGCGGUUGGUGGAGGGGGUUGGACGGUGCCACGCACACACACGUCGCUUUCCUAAUUUUUUUUUUAAUAAUUUCCCGCCGUCCGGGCCGGUCCCGGCGCGGCGCGGCCCCUGCUGCCGACACGAAACGAGUGCGUUAACUCAAAAAAAAAACAAAAUAACUUUCGUUUAAUCUAAUUAUGGACUAAGUAGAUUUAAAAAUUUUGUCUCGUAAAUUACAGAUAAACUAUAUAAUUAGUUAUUUUUUUUAUUUAUAUUUAGUAUUUGAUAUAUACCACAAAAUUUGAUGUGACGAGAAAUGUGAAAUUUUUUUGCAAAAUAUUUUAGAAACUAAACAAGGCACAAGUCAUGUAAACUGCUGGAGUUCAAAAGUGACGGAUAUACAGUAAAAAUGAGAGCCGCUGGGGGCAUAAUUCAUUGUUGCGUGCCUUUCAGCAAAGAUGCAAAUCUGUCAGUUUGUAUAACAAAGAAAACACGGCUAAGCGCAUGCACAAAUCUGCAUCCUAUUUACAGUUGUACAUUUGAACGACUGCCUCCGAUCGAUUACCAACUACUCCUGGACGACAGUAAAAUAAUUAAAAAAAAACUACUCCUGGACGACAGCGGCAAUCACACGACCAUCUCGGCCGGCAGCAGCGCCAGGUUGAGGUCGAGCCCUAGACCCAGGCCCACGGGCGGCGGCGCCGCGUCGAACACCACAGAUGACGACGACGGCGACCCAGAGCAGCUCCGCUCCUCCUCGCUCUUCGGAAGCAGGAACGGCAGCAGGGCCGGUGUCGGAUCCAUGAACAGCUGGUACGUCUUUGCGACCGAAGCCGAAGCCGGCAGCGCCAGGCUCAGGUCCAGCGACGGGGCCGGCGCCGUGACGGCCACCGUCACCGACUCCGGCAGCAGGGAGCACGAGGAGGAGGAGGAGGAGGACGACGACAACGACGACUCGUGCACAACGGCGCUCCCGCUCCCGCUCGCGCUCCGCGCUGGAGCCUCCGCCGGCGCCAUCGGCUCCGAGGACUGGGGGUAGUUGGUGGUGGCGCCGGGCCCACGGAGCCUGCGCGCGGCGGCGUCGUACGCCCGCGCCGCCUGCUCGGGCGUGUCGAAGGUGCCCAGCCACACGCGCGCCUUCCUAACGGGGUCACGGAUCUCCGCCGCGUACCGGCCCCACGGCCGCUUCCGCACGCCGCGCAGCCUCGGCUGCUCCGCCGCCGCCGCCUCGAACACGCCGCUGCCGCUGCUUCCGGCCGGUGACGACGAUCUCUUGGGCGCCAUGGAUGAUGAUGGAUGGAGACUCGCCUCUCGCCUUGUUUUGCUGCCGUGGAGCUUCGGGGGAUGGAUGGAUGGAUGGCUGGAUGGAUUGGAAUGCCGCUGGCGCCUGGCGGGGCGCGGGACUAUAUAUACACCACGGCAACGGGACGGCCGGGGGGGCGGCGGGACGGUGACAGGGUGAGGUGGACUGUGGGGCCCACGCCAAGCAGACGCACGGAAGGUGAGGCCUGAUCUGACUGUGGACCGGUCCUUGGGCGGCCGUGGGGCCCAGGGCGCCGCCCCCCAGCGCGUUUCGGUGGCUCCUGCCGUCGGGUUCCUAGGGCCGUUUCGUGCGCGUCGGGGCGUCGUGCUCUCUCGGGGAUCCGUCUCGUGGCUCACGUGGCACGCGACCGCGUAGGUUUUGCCCGCGCAGCCGUCGGAUCUAAGUUUGACGUUUUUAUGAUGUGUGUGAAUAGAGCUUGAGGUCGAUGCAGGUCUAGUUGUUCUUCCUCCAUCUUAGAGGAUAAUAAUAAUAAUAUAGUUGUACUAAUACCGUUAGACUAUUUCGUGCACAAUUUUGCAAACUACACACUCGAUUUAUAGCGAUAAUAUAUAAGUGUAUUUUUGGCAUGACUUUUUGGGUUCAGAUUUUUCCACACCAGCAAUUUUUUUUUUCCUUUCAUCGUGAAAUGAACGUGGAGCCGAGACGAGCCAUGAUCCUUCGAUCCUAUAUUGUGAAGUUUUUAGCCCAAGAGAGCCCAUCCAAAUAGGAAACAUGCAUGUCUACGAAUCGUGAUAUGACCAAAAAUUGCUAGAAAUGAAGGAGAAUGGGUUUAAUAAGAUUUCUUUUAAGCUAUGACAUACAAUCGGAGGUGCUCUCUUGCUGUACUCUUGCACAACUGUUUGAUUUUGCACUGCAUAGUUGUAGCAAAAAAAACCCCACCUAAAGGGGCCCGAGCAACUACCCCAUCGCAUUUCGGCAGCUCCUAUCGUCGGACUGCUAGGCCGGUUUCGUGUGUGUCGCGGCGUCAUGCUCAUGGGCUACCAUGUUCGUUCUACUGUUGGCUCGCUCCGAUAUGCCUCGUGUCUCUUAUGUUGGAUGUCGCGGAGGGAGGAGUAGGGGCGUUGCUCAAAAGGAGGGGAGGAUGGCUGCGCUACGCAAGAGGAAGGAGGACGUGGGUCUCGCCUGGAGCUCGUGAGAGAGGGUGAGGUGAGUAGAGUACCGAUUGAAACCUUAAGUUACAUAUUUAUAGUGGAUCAGCCUACAGGGCCUAAAUCUGGGCCUAUUUGGGCCGAGUUAUUUUUUCGUGGCGGUUUAGUUUGGACGCUAGUCUUCAAAAAUAGAUGUAUUUUUGGAGGCGGGCCAGUCAUAAAAUCCGUCUCUGUUAAUAGAUUUUAGGAGGCGGUUAUUUUUUAACCGUCUCUGUAAAUCUAUUUUGCGAAGCCUCUAUAAAUCUAUUUUAUGAGGCGGUUGAUUGUAACCACUUUAGUUAAGAAAAAACAAUCGUCUUAGUUAAUUCGAAGCAUUAACCGAGGUGAUUGAAAUGGCUGACCGCCUCUAAGAACUAAUCCUAAAUGUCCGAUUUUUUUAGUGGUGGAAGUUGCACGUCUACAACUUGUACACAGUUUUCUGGGGCAUCGUGCUCCUGCAGGGCACGCCGGCACGCUCACUCCUGCACUGGCCAUCGCAACGCGGUAUCCAUCUUUUCUUCGGCGUGUCAAGGAAAAAAAAAACGAGAAAAAAAAGAAACGCAGCGCGAGGGAAUAUUGUGCAGGUGGGCAGGUAGCGUGGCGGCGGCGGCGGCGGCUGCUGCUGAGUGCCCCCACCCGCACGCGGAACGGCGCGGGCCCAGGGCCCACAGCCCCGCCGCCGGGUCGUGUGGACUUUUUAGGCCUUGUUUACUUUCCAGAAAAAUUUGCAAAAUUUUUCACAUUCUCUGUCACAUCGAAUCUUUAGACGUAUGUAUGGAGUAUUAAAUAUAGACGAAAAUAAAAACUAAUUGCACAGUUUGGUCGAAAUUGACGAGACGAAUCUUUUCAGUCUAGUUAGUCCAUGAUUGGACAAUAUUUGUCAAAUACAAACGAAAGUGCUACAGUGUCCAUUUCUCAAAAUUUUUCGGAACUAAACAAGGCCUUAAAAUCCGGGGGCGGCGGCUGGUGGCGACGUCGUCGGCGGCACGCGGCAGGCACAUCGCGGCGCGGGGAGCAGCCGCCACGCCGCUGUCAGUGGGGGUUGGACGGUGCCCUGCCGCAGCGCACACACACGCGUCGCUUUUGCCACUUUUUUUUAUUCCCGCCGUCCGGGCGGCCGGGUCCCGGCGCGGCGCUGGGUGGGUGCCGACACGACGCGAGAGGGCGUUUGCCUCGAAGUCUCGGUGUACUUGCCAGGACAGCCGAACGUGCCGCCGCCCGCCUUGUGCGCGCCGCGUCUUCGGCCGCCGCUGCUCACCACGCGUGACGCGGACUUGACCGGGCGUUACCGCCCGUCCCGUAUCGGUACCGUGUAAAUUAACCCCGGAUCUGUAGAGGUUUGUCGACGAAUGUGGAAACAAACGUAUAUGUACGGCCAUGUGGAAACAAACGUAUAUCACAUCGAAUCUUUAGACGUAUGCAUGGAAUAUUAAAUAUAGAUUAAAAUAAAAAUUAAUUACACAGUUUGAUCGAAAUUGAUGAGACGAAUCUUUUAAGCCUAGUUAGUUUAUAAUUAGACAAUAUUUGUCAAAUAUAAAUGCAAAAUAUUAUUAUUUAUAAAAAUUAAUUGCACAGUUUGAUCGAAAUUGACGAGACGAAUCUUUUAAGCCUAGUUAGUUUAUAAUUAGACAAUAUUUGUCAAAUAUAAAUGAAAAAUAUUAUUAUUUCUAUUUUGCAAAAUUUUUUGGAAGUAUAGUCUGCAACUGAACACAUGAGACCGUAGUAGUACACGGAACGGAUCUGUCAUGACACUUUGAAACUUUGCAUGCUCUGUAGGGUUGCGAGCGGAGUAUAGUCUGCAACUGAACACAUGAGGACCUUGAUUACCUUGGCCUUGUUCAGUUCCAAUUUUUUUUUUAAUUUUUGAUAUCGUAUCACUUUCAUUUAUGGAGCAACUAUGUUCGAAAGAUUUAUUUUACGAUUGUAUAAUUUUGUUUUUAUUUAUAUUUAAUAUUUUAUAUACGUGGCGCAAAAUUCAAUGAGACAAGAAAUAUUUAUUUUUUUUGUUUUUGACGUGAACUAAGGCCCUUGCAAAAUUUUUGCAAUUCUUUUCGGCACAUGUAUGAAUAUUAAAUAUAGAUAAAAAAACUAAUAAUUUACAAGACAAAUCUUUUAAAUCUAAACAAUAUUUGUUAAAUACAAACGAAAAUACUACCAUGUCUAUUUUGUAAAAAAAAAAAGUUGCAACUAAACAAGUCCGAGAAAGAGAUUGCUGAUUUCCGUGAAAACUUUUUUUUCUUUUGGCGAUAGAUUUCCGUGAAAACUGAUGAACUGCAUGAGAGAGAUUUACUUUUGCUGGAAGUUCUUGCCUUGCAUGAUCGGGGAAAAGAGUGAUCUACAAAAGCACGCUAGCUAACAGUAACAGCUGCCUAUUUACAUUGGUGUUACACACGGUAGCUGCCUGGCUGAUGACACCUUCGAAAUUGGUGAUGCUCAUUUCGGUCGCUACUACAUGACCAUCUCGACGGGCGGAGGCAGGUUGAGGUCAAGAAGCCCCAAGCCCACCACCUGCCCCGCAGACGACGACGACGACGAUGACCACCGUGCGGAGCGGCUCCUCCGCUCUUCCUCGCUCCUCGGCGGCAACAACUGACGCAGCGCCAGCGCAGCCGUCGGGUCCAUGAACAGCUGGUAGGGCUUCACGGCCGCCGCCGCAUCAGCCGGCAGCGCCAGGCUGAGGUCCAGUGACGCCGCGACCGCCACCGUCACCGACUCCUGCGGCGGCAGCGGCAGGGACCACGAAGACGACGACGACGGCUCGUACACCACGCCGCUCCCGCUCGCGCUCGCCGCUGGAACCGGCUCUGAGGCCUGGGGGUAGUUGGUGGUGGCGCCGGGCCCGCGGAGCCUGCGCGCGGCGGCGUCGUAGGCCCGCGCCGCCUGCUCGGGCGUGUCGAAGGUGCCGAGCCACACGCGCGCCUUCCGCACCGGGUCACGGAUCUCCGCCGCGUACCGGCCCCACGGCCGCUUCCGCACGCCGCGCAGCCUCGGCUGCUCCGCCGCCGCCGCCAACGGGCACACACCGCCGCCGCUGCUGCUGUUGCUUCC
rnacentral:lncRNA from 1 species